rnacentral:lncRNA from 12 species
AGGAAGGAUUUCUGUUACGGAGCAGCUAGUCAACACUGCCCACAGUUUUAGAAGAAAGCCGAAGAGUGUGGUCUACGGAGCAUGCUGCGCUUGCCAGGGGUGUGGACGCAGAGUUCAAGCACAGACAAAGGGCAGGCAGUGAUUUCAUACUUCUGAUAGGUAAAUGAAGAAUUCAGAGCCUAAACCCAAGUUUAAGACAAGAUGCAAAAAAAGGAAAAAAAAAUCAAAGAGCUUGGAACAGAAUUCUGGCAGCAGUGAACCUGGGAACAUGAGCCCACAGGUUGCCCUUAAAUUUCAGGAGCUCUUUCAACGCAUUCACAGGCAGAUGGAGGGCCAUGCCCACCACCAUCUCUACCCACAUCCUCUCUACUCAGAGGAGUUGCUCCUCCUUCUCCAACUUCUUUACCUAGAAUAAGUGGCAAACCAUCACCACCACUAUCACCUUUGUGGGAGGACCUCCUUCUCCAAAAUCACCACUUGCUUUCUCUUAUGGAAUAAAGCAGAAAUAAAUG